ACAUCCAGAGAAUUUAGCAGAGAUGCUUUAGUGCCUUCGGGAACUCUGAGACAGGUGCUGCAUGGCUGUCGUCAGCUCGUGUUGUGAAAUGUUGGGUUAAGUCCCGCAACGAGCGCAACCCUUAUCCUUUGUUGCCAGCACGUAAUGGUGGGAAACUCAAAGGAGACUGCCGGUGAUAAACCGGAGGAAGGUGGGGAUGACGUCAAGUCAUCAUGGCCCUUACGAGUAGGGCUACACACGUGCUACAAUGGCGCAUACAAAGAGAAGCGACCUCGCGAGAGCAAGCGGACCUCAUAAAGUGCGUCGUAGUCCGGAUUGGAGUCUGCAACUCGACUCCAUGAAGUCGGAAUCGCUAGUAAUCGUAAAUCAGAAUGUUACGGUGAAUACGUUCCCGGGCCUUGUACACACCGCCCGUCACACCAUGGGAGUGGGUUGCAAAAGAAGUAGAUAGCUUAACCUUCGGGAGGGCGUUUACCACUUUGUGAUUCAUGACUGGGGUGAAGUCGUAACAAGGUAAGCGUAGUGCU
rnacentral:rRNA from 1 species